ACGAACGCUGGCGGCGUGCUUCACACAUGCAAGUCGAACGGUGAAGGGGUCUGCUUUUGUGGGCCCUGGAUGAGUGGCGAACGGGUGAGUAACACGUGAGUAACCUGCCCCCUUCUUCUGGAUAACCGCAUGAAAGUGUGGCUAAUACGGGAUAUUCUGGGUCUGUCGCAUGAUGGGUCUGGGAAAGAUUGCGCCUUUGGGUGUUUUUGGUGGGGGAUGGGCUCGCGGCCUAUCAGCUUGUUGAUGGGGUGAUGGCCUACCAAGGCGGUGACGGGUAGCCGGCCUGAGAGGGUGGACGGUCACACUGGGACUGAGACACGGCCCAGACUCCUACGGGAGGCAGCAGUGGGGAAUAUUGCACAAUGGGCGCAAGCCUGAUGCAGCGACGCCGCGUGAGGGAUGGAGGCCUUCGGGUUGUAAACCUCUUUCGCCAGUGAAGCAGGCCUGCUCCUUGUGGGUGGGUUGACGGUAGCUGGAUAAGAAGCGCCGGCUAACUACGUG
rnacentral:rRNA from 1 species